CUCUAUAACCUCUGGCUAGUGGUGAUGGUGGAGGUGGAGGUGGUUGUUUUCCUGAUCAACUGCUGUCAAGGAUUCAAGAAUGAACUGAUCUAAAGAUUUACCUUGGAGAAUAUGGAAUAGAUUUUGGCUUCAUUUGGUUGAAAGCAAAGUUAUUAUCACUUACUCUGAGACAGAGAUGCAGCACUGUAUCUUCUUUGUAAACACUUGACCAUGUAUUGACUACGUCAGGAAGAAAGGAUUU